GACGAACGCUGGCGGCGUGCUUAACACAUGCAAGUCGAACGGAAAGGCCCUGCUUUUGUGGGGUGCUCGAGUGGCGAACGGGUGAGUAACACGUGAGUAACCUGCCCUUGACUUUGGGAUAACUUCAGGAAACUGGGGCUAAUACCGGAUAGGAGCUCCUGCUGCAUGGUGGGGGUUGGAUAGUUUCGGCGGUUGGGGAUGGACUCGCGGCUUAUCAGCUUGUUGGUGGGGUAGUGGCUUACCAAGGCUUUGACGGGUAGCCGGCCUGAGAGGGUGACCGGCCACAUUGGGACUGAGAUACGGCCCAGACUCCUACGGGAGGCAGCAGUGGGGAAUAUUGCACAGUGGGCGGAAGCCUGAUGCAGCAACGCCGCGUGCGGGAUGACGGCCUUCGGGUUGUAAACCGCUUUCGCCUGUGACGAAGCGUGAGUGACGGUAAUGGGUAAAGAAGCACCGGCUAACUACGUG
rnacentral:rRNA from 1 species